AGCGAACGCUGGCGGCAGGCCUAACACAUGCAAGUCGAACGCUCGUAGCAAUACGAGAGUGGCAGACGGGUGAGUAACACGUGGGAACCUUCCCUAUGGUUCGGAAUAGCUCAGGGAAACUUGAGGUAAUACCGGAUAAGCCCUUACGGGGAAAGAUUUAUCGCCAUUGGAUGGGCCCGCGUCGGAUUAGCUAGUUGGUGAGGUAACGGCUCACCAAGGCGACGAUCCGUAGCUGGUCUGAGAGGAUGAUCAGCCACACUGGGACUGAGACACGGCCCAGACUCCUACGGGAGGCAGCAGUGGGGAAUAUUGGACAAUGGGCGCAAGCCUGAUCCAGCCAUGCCGCGUGAGUGAUGAAGGCCCUAGGGUUGUAAAGCUCUUUUGUGCGGGAAGAUAAUGACGGUACCGCAAGAAUAA
rnacentral:rRNA from 1 species